UGGCGAGAAUGACGUCGCGGGUGCGUUA
rnacentral:piRNA from 1 species